rnacentral:rRNA from 1 species
GAGACCCACGCCAACAGUUGCCAGCAUGUCCUCCGGGAUGGUGGGGACACUGUUGGGACCGCCUCUGCUAAAGAGGAGGAAGGAAUGGGCAACGGUAGGUCAGCAUGCCCCGAAUUAUCCGGGCUGCACGCGGGCUACAAUGGUCAGGACAAUGGGUAUCGACACCGAGAGGUGAAGGCAAUCUCUUAAACCUGUCCUUAGUUCGGAUUGUGGGCUGCAACUCGCCCACAUGAAGCUGGAAUCCGUAGUAAUCGCGUCUCAAAAUGGCGCGGUGAAUAU